CGGCGAACGGGUGCGUAACACGUGGAUAUUCUCCCUCGGUGCCGGGAUAACUGCCGAAAGGCUUUGUUAAUCCCGGAUGAGCCCACGGGAGCUUCGGCUCCAGGGGGAAAAGGCGGCCUCUGCAUGCAAGCUGUCACACCGGGAUGAGUCCGCGGCCCCUCCGCUAGUUGGCGGGGUAAAAGCCCACCAAGGCGACGUCGGGUAGCUGGUCUGAGCGGUUGUUCAGCACACACUGGAACUGAGGCGCGGUCCAGACUCCUACGGGAGGCAGCAGUGGGGAAUCUUGCGCAAUGGGCGAAAGCCUGACGCAGCAACGCCGCGUGUGUGAUGAAGGUCUUCGGAUCGUAAAGCA
rnacentral:rRNA from 1 species